rnacentral:rRNA from 1 species
AGAGUUUGAUCCUGGCUCAGGAUGAACGCUGGCGGCGUGCCUAAUACAUGCAAGUCGAGCGAACGGACGAGAAGCUUGCUUCUCUGAUGUUAGCGGCGGACGGGUGAGUAACACGUGGAUAACCUACCUAUAAGACUGGGAUAACUUCGGGAAACCGGAGCUAAUACCGGAUAAUAUUUUGAACCGCAUGGUUCAAAAGUGAAAGACGGUCUUGCUGUCACUUAUAGAUGGAUCCGCGCUGCAUUAGCUAGUUGGUAAGGUAACGGCUUACCAAGGCAACGAUGCAUAGCCGACCUGAGAGGGUGAUCGGCCACACUGGAACUGAGACACGGUCCAGACUCCUACGGGAGGCAGCAGUAGGGAAUCUUCCGCAAUGGGCGAAAGCCUGACGGAGCAACGCCGCGUGAGUGAUGAAGGUCUUCGGAUCGUAAAACUCUGUUAUUAGGGAAGAACAUAUGUGUAAGUAACUGUGCACAUCUUGACGGUACCUAAUCAGAAAGCCACGGCUAACUACGUGCCAGCAGCCGCGGUAAUACGUAGGUGGCAAGCGUUAUCCGGAAUUAUUGGGCGUAAAGCGCGCGUAGGCGGUUUUUUAAGUCUGAUGUGAAAGCCCACGGCUCAACCGUGGAGGGUCAUUGGAAACUGGAAAACUUGAGUGCAGAAGAGGAAAGUGGAAUUCCAUGUGUAGCGGUGAAAUGCGCAGAGAUAUGGAGGAACACCAGUGGCGAAGGCGACUUUCUGGUCUGUAACUGACGCUGAUGUGCGAAAGCGUGGGGAUCAAACAGGAUUAGAUACCCUGGUAGUCCACGCCGUAAACGAUGAGUGCUAAGUGUUAGGGGGUUUCCGCCCCUUAGUGCUGCAGCUAACGCAUUAAGCACUCCGCCUGGGGAGUACGACCGCAAGGUUGAAACUCAAAGGAAUUGACGGGGACCCGCACAAGCGGUGGAGCAUGUGGUUUAAUUCGAAGCAACGCGAAGAACCUUACCAAAUCUUGACAUCCUUUGACAACUCUAGAGAUAGAGCNNNNNNNNNNNNNNNNNNNNNNNNNUUCCCCUUCGGGGGACAAAGUGACAGGUGGUGCAUGGUUGUCGUCAGCUCGUGUCGUGAGAUGUUGGGUUAAGUCCCGCAACGAGCGCAACCCUUAAGCUUAGUUGCCAUCAUUAAGUUGGGCACUCUAAGUUGACUGCCGGUGACAAACCGGAGGAAGGUGGGGAUGACGUCAAAUCAUCAUGCCCCUUAUGAUUUGGGCUACACACGUGCUACAAUGGACAAUACAAAGGGCAGCGAAACCGCGAGGUCAAGCAAAUCCCAUAAAGUUGUUCUCAGUUCGGAUUGUAGUCUGCAACUCGACUACAUGAAGCUGGAAUCGCUAGUAAUCGUAGAUCAGCAUGCUACGGUGAAUACGUUCCCGGGUCUUGUACACACCGCCCGUCACACCACGAGAGUUUGUAACACCCGAAGCCGGUGGAGUAACCUUUUAGGAGCUAGCCGUCGAAGGUGGGACAAAUGAUUGGGGUGAAGUCGUAACAAGGUAGCCGUAUCGGAAGGUGCGGCUGGAUCACCU